AGUUGAAUUGUCAGUUGAAAGUCAGCCUGUGAAGAGAAGACUAGGAGGUUGGUGUGAAAUGGCCGCCAGCCUGGGAGCCAGUUAGCUGAGGGCUGGCAUUUCAGCCGAGCUCUUCAAGGGAGGCUGACAAGAGAUGGUAUUAUAGUUGAGUUGACAAAAUUUCAGCUGUAGGAUAUUCACUGGACAGCAAUGACAUGAUCGCAGGAAGCUGAAGAAACUCUGCUGUUAGAAGCCAUUGUUGGGAGGGGCUGUUGAAUACACAGCAGGCUGGAAGGAGUGAUUUUGUAAAGUGUGGGGAUUAGUGAUAGCACUGUAAUUACUUGUAGAUCUGGGUGGUGUACAGAAGUGUUCAAUAAAUCCAUUUACCAAUCCAUACCCCAUCUAUAGUCACACCCGCAAAUACAACAGUAUGUUUCUCUGACAGUAUGAAAUCCUAAGUCAACAUUAGAGCAUCCAUUAUGAAAUACAUUUGUCAAAUAUGGCCUCAUACAGAUGAAUAUAAGAAACCAACAGUCUAUAUACCGUGGCAACAUAAGCCAACACAUUCACUUUAUUGGCAUUCUACAGCUCUUCUGAUAGCAAGAGGCUGCUGCUACUGACAGCAUAGUCCACAGGUUCCUUCGUGAACACAUGAAAAUGUAACAAGUGCAGUCCUAAUGGUUGGCAGCCUUCACGUGGGCGAGAGAUUUGUGCCAAAUGUUUUCAAAAAGCAACAAAUAAUGUAGUCUGUAUAUAAAAUGAACACAAGGAAAGACAUGUUUUGUAUUCAUAAAUACUAUCUACAGUCAAUUUACCAUAGUUUAGGUAGAGUCCCCCCGCCAUAAGGUUGACAAACUGCUUUCAAGUAGCCUAUCUGAAGAUAGUUUGGUACAGAAAAAUUCAAGGCGUAAAAAUACUAGUAACUGGUAAAGUGAUGUUAAUAAAGAUAUAACUGAAUUAUAUGGACACUAAGAAAAAACAUUGCUAAAUAUGUACAGGACCUGAAAUAUCUAUAAAUUUUUAGGUUUUUAUGGCAGUAGUUCAUAUUGUGGUCUUCUGUGCUAUAAGUCAAUUCUGACAUUUCAGAAAAACAUGUUGUCUUCAUCUGCACAGCUGAAGUGACUUCAACAGAAGCAAACCUAGCUUCAACUCUGAUGAUGAUGAUGACAACAAUGACAAAGGCUUGUUCCUCCAAAAUGUCAGUUUUUGCCUCUAAGACCAUACAGUGUCACAAAACAGAAGACCACAAUCUGAACUGAAAGUUUUCUAUGUGAAAUGAAAUUUGUGCAUUUAUCAUAUGAAAGGACAUGUUUGUUCGAAAUGCACUAAUAUAUGGAAAUUAAAGUACUGCACUUCAGUCUAUUCCAGCUGCCAGUGAAGUUAACACAUGGUCACAGUAAUGAAAGAACAUGAAAAUAAAAAAUAAGUUGUAAUAUAUGUAUACUGUAACCAUUAUACUCUGCCACCAUGUACAAUAAUACCAAAUCUGAGAAUAUUCAAUAAAAAUAUCAGAGUACCUCAAGAUAUUAUAUAUGUUUGCCCUUCACCAGUAAUGAAGACAGUUUAUCUACAUAUCUGCAGCCUUAAAGUACACUUUCAGUGUACACACGGUUCUGUUCCCACCAUCGAUGUCAAUUUAGGGGUAUAUAAUUUCAAAUGAAAAUCAACAAACAAACAAAAAAAGAAAC